AUUGAACGCUGGCGGCAGGCCUAACACAUGCAAGUCGAGCGGAUGAAGGGAGCUUGCUCCUGGAUUCAGCGGCGGACGGGUGAGUAAUGCCUAGGAAUCUGCCUGGUAGGGGGGGAUAACGUCCGGAAACGGGCGCUAAUACCGCAUACGUCCUGAGGGAGAAAGUGGGAGAUCUUCGGACCCCACGCUAUCAGAUGAGCCUAGGUCGGAUUAGCUAGUUGGUGGGGUAACGGCCUACCAAGGCGACGAUCCGUAACUGGUCUGAGAGGAUGAUCAGUCACACUGGAACUGGACCACGGUCCAGACUCCUACGGGAGGCAGCAGUGGGGAAUAUUGGACAAUGGGCGGAAGCCUGAUCCAACCAUGCCGCGUGUGUGAAGAAGGUCUUCGGAUUGUAAAGCACUUUAAGUUGGGAGGAAGGGCAGUAAGUUAAUACCUUGCUGUUUUGACGUUACCAACAGAAUAAGCACCGGCUAACUUCGUG
rnacentral:rRNA from 1 species